rnacentral:rRNA from 1 species
UACGAAGGGGGCUAGCGUUGCUCGGAAUCACUGGGCGUAAAGCGCACGUAGGCGGAUUGUUAAGUCAGGGGUGAAAUCCUGGAGCUCAACUCCAGAACUGCGUCUGAUACUGGCGAGCUUGAGUUCGGGAGAGGUGAGUGGAACUGCGAGUGUAGAGGUGAAAUUCGUAGAUAUUCGCAAGAACACCAGUGGCGAAGGCGGCUCACUGGCCCGAUACUGACGCUGAGGUGCGAAAGCGUGGGGAGCAAACAGG